UACGUAGGCAGCAAGCGUUGUUCGGAAUUACUGGGCGUAAAGAGUGUGUAGGCGGUGCUCCAAGUCUGGUGUGAAAUCUCCCGGCUUAACUGGGAGGGUGCAUUAGAAACUGGAAUGCUAGAGGAUGGGAGAGGUAAGCGGAAUUCCUGGUGUAGCGGUGAAAUGCGCAGAUAUCAGGAGGAACACCGAUGGCGAAGGCAGGUCUCUGGGCCGAACUACUGACGCUGGAGGCGCGAAAGCCUAGGGGAGCAAACAGG
rnacentral:rRNA from 1 species